GAUGAACGCUGGCGGCGUGCCUAAUACAUGCAAGUCGAGCGAAUGGAUUAAGAGCUUGCUCUUAUGAAGUUAGCGGCGGACGGGUGAGUAACACGUGGGUAACCUGCCCAUAAGACUGGGAUAACUCCGGGAAACCGGGGCUAAUACCGGAUAACAUUUUGAACCGCAUGGUUCGAAAUUGAAAGGCGGCUUCGGCUGUCACUUAUGGAUGGACCCGCGUCGCAUGAGCUAGUUGGUGAGGUAACGGCUCACCAAGGCAACGAUGCGUAGCCGACCUGAGAGGGUGAUCAGCCACACUGGGACUGAGACACGGCCCAGACUCCUACGGGAGGCAGCAGUAGGGAAUCUUCCGCAAUGGACGAAAGUCUGACGGAGCAACGCCGCGUGAGUGAUGAAGGCUUUCGGGUCGUAAAACUCUGUUGUUAGGGAAGAUCAAGUGCUAGUUGAAUAAGCUGGCACCUUGACGGUACCUAACCAGAAAGCCACGGCUAACUACGUGCCAGCCGCCGCCGUAA
rnacentral:rRNA from 1 species